CAAGGUGGGCGGAAUUCGUGGUGUAGCGGUGAAAUGCUUAGAUAUCACGAAGAACUCCGAUUGCGUAGGCAGCUCACCGGGGCAUAACUGACGCUGAUGCACGAAAGUUCGGUUAUCAAACAGGAUUAGAUACCCUGGUAGUCCGUACUGUAAACGAUGAAUACUCGCCGUCUGCGAUACACAGUAGGCGGUCAAGCGAAAGCAUUAAGUAUUCCACCUGGGGAGUACGCCGGCAACGGUGAAACUCAAAGGAAUUGACGGGGGCCCGCACAAGCGGAGGAACAUGUGGUUUAAUUCGAUGAUACGCGAGGAACCUUACCCGGGCUUGAAUUGCAGAGGAAUGCAGGUGAAAUCCUGCCGCCGCAAGGUCUCUGUGAAGGUGCUGCAUGGUUGUCGUCAGCUCGUGCCGUGAGGUGUCGGCUUAAGUGCCAUAACGAGCGCAACCCUGAUGGUCAGUUACCAGCAUGUCAUGAUGGGGACUCUGACCAGACUGCCGUCGUAAGAUGUGAGGAAGGUUGGGAUGACGUCAAAUCAGCACGGCCCUUACGUCCGGGGCUACACACGUGUUACAAUGGAUGGUACAGAGGGUCGCCACGUGGCAACACGGAGCUAAUCCCCAAAUCCAUUCUCAGUUCGGAUCGAAGUCUGCAACCCGACUUCGUGAAGCUGGAUUCGCUAGUAAUCGCACAUCAGCCACGGCGCGGUGAAUACGUUCCCGGGGCCUUGUACACACCGCCCGUCAAGCCAUGGGAGUCGAGGGUACCUGAAGCACGUGUCCGUCAANGGAGCGUUCCAGGGUAAAUCCGGGUGACCGGGGCUAA
rnacentral:rRNA from 1 species